rnacentral:rRNA from 1 species
GAUGAACGCUGGCGGCGUGCCUAAUACAUGCAAGUCGAGCGAACGGACGAGAAGCUUGCUUCUCUGAUGUUAGCGGCGGACGGGUGAGUAACACGUGGAUAACCUACCUAUAAGACUGGGAUAACUUCGGGAAACCGGAGCUAAUACCGGAUAAUAUUUUGAACCGCAUGGUUCAAAAGUGAAAGACGGUCUUGCUGUCACUUAUAGAUGGAUCCGCGCUGCAUUAGCUAGUUGGUAAGGUAACGGCUUACCAAGGCAACGAUGCAUAGCCGACCUGGGAGGGUGACCGCCCACCCGGGAACUGAGACACGGUCCAGACUCCUACGGGAGGCAGCAGUAGGGAAUCUUCCGCAAUGGGCGAAAGCCUGACGGAGCAACGCCGCGUGAGUGAUGAAGGUCUUCGGAUCGUAAAACUCUGUUAUUAGGGAAGAACAUAUGUGUAAGUAACUGUGCACAUCUUGACGGUACCUAAUCAGAAAGCCACGGCUAACUACGUG